UACAGAGGGUGCAAGCGUUAAUCGGAAUUACUGGGCGUAAAGCGUGCGUAGACGGUUAUGUAAGUCGGGUGUGAAAGCCCCGGGCUCAACCUGGGAAUUGCAUUCGAGACUGCAUAGCUAGGGUGCGGAAGAGGGAAGCGGAAUUUCCGGUGUAGCGGUGGAAAUGCGCAGAUAUCAGGAGGAACACCGGUGGCGAAGGCGGAUCUCUGGGCCUUACCUGACGCGUCGAGGCGACGAAGCUAGGGAGCGAACUGGAUU
rnacentral:rRNA from 1 species